GGCGCACUCACAGAGGCGAGGGUGCCGGACACUGGUGCCACCGGGCCCUCUGACCACCACCGGGUGAAGUGUCUUGGACACAACGACAAGGACACAACGACUGAGACUGUCCAAGCCUGUCGAACCGGUAACCUUCCGAUUACAAGGCGAACUCCCAACUCUUGAGCCACGAUCGCCCCGUUGUCUUGGAUUCCAGACAACCAUCACAGCUGAGUCUGGACAGAACGUCACUCUGACAUGUCGAGCUCCAUCAGACAAAACCAUCAGUGCUGUAGAGUGGAACAGAACUGACCUGGGAGAUAAAUAUGUGCUUUUGUACCGGGAUGGUCACUUUCAGGAUGAUGACCAGCAUCCAUCUUUUAAGAACCGGGUGGAUCUGCAGGACAGCCAGAUGAAGAAUGGAGACGUGUCUUUGAUUCUGAAGGAUGUGACGAUUAAUGAUAAUGGAGCAUACCAGUGUCGUGUUGCCCAAAAAGAACCAAACCAACAGAGACCCAGAUUGAAUCCCAUCAGCAUCAUCCACCUUCAUGUUGUUCCUCCAGGUCAGACAGGACCAUCUGCUGGAGUGAUCAUUGGAGUGAUCAUCGGUCUGAUUGUUGCUGCUGUGCUUCUUGUUGCUGCUGGAUUUUUCAUCUACAGACAUAUAAAGAACAGAAAUUUAAUUUAAGCUAGCAUCCUGAGGAACAUCAGCAAGUUUGAAAUGAUCAUCGGUCUGUCGGUUUCUGCUGUGAUUCUUGUUGCUGCUGUUGUUGGAUUUUUGAUUUACAGAAAACGUGAGAAAACAAAGAGUCAGGACCAUCCUCCUGCUGAACUGCAGCCUGUUUGAAAUGAAUGAAUUUUUUUUUUACAGCUGAGCUCCUGGAGUCUGAGUCUCCUGAUGAGCCAGACUUCAUUUAGUGUUAUUGAACAUUCAGAAGAUGAUCUGAGGACAGACAUCAGUCAGCUGUCGGUGAUUUGAAGUUACUGUUUUUGUUUGUUUGUUUGCUUUGUGUGCAUCAGUAUUAGUUAUUAGUUUGUUUUAGCUUCCAGGUUAGUCGCUCAUCUCAGUGGAAGAGUUUAUGUUUUUCAACACUGUUAUUUACACUUUUGCCUCAUUUAUAUGUGGAACAUUCAGGACUUCAUCAUUCAAAUAAAGAAAGUUUGUUCACAGUGAUGAGUUCAGUGUUGUCUCUGUCACAAUAUCAGAAUCAGUGAGUUUGUUUCAUCUUCAGGUUCAGCUGUUUGUAAGGUCAGACUCACAGACUGAUCCUCGUGUUUAGAUGUUACACAAUGAUUACAGACACUGACUGACAACACAAAUGCAACACAAAGUGCUCAGGGUCCAUUUAUCAGCUAGAACUGAGUGACUGAAUAAUCUGAUAUUAUUAUGAAACCAAAGAGAAAUGUGUUACAUGGAGCUGCAGAGUCACAUGUUUCCUCCUCUGAUCUAUGAAGCCUUAACUUGUUCCUUCAAGAAGGAGACUCUUCAGUUUAAACACGUCAAGAUUAUUUAUUAUUUACUUUUUAUAUCAGUUUGUUUAUUGAUAAAGUUUAAACGUGUUACUCUUGAAUGUUUUUCUUUUCUUCCUGUAGCUGUAAACAUUUCC
ensembl:lncRNA